CUAUACAUGACUCUGUGCAUAUCAAUAAGCGGAGGAAAAGAAACUAACAAGGAUUCCCCUAGUAACGGCGAGUGAAGCGGGAAGAGCUCAAAUUUGAAAUCUUAAAGGGUUUCCCUUUACGAAUUGUAGUUUAAAGAAGUGCUUUCUGUUGAGGUUUUGGUAAAAGUUCUUUGGAAUAGGACAUCAUAGAGGGUGAGAAUCCCGUAUUUGACCUUUACUUUCAACUUUGUGAUACACUUUCAAAGAGUCGGAUUGUUUGGGAAUGCAGUCCAAAAUGGGUGGUAAAUUUCAUCUAAAGCUAAAUAUUGGCGAGAGACCGAUAGCGAACAAGUACCGUGAGGGAAAGAUGAAAAGAACUUUGAAAAGAGAGUUAAACAGUACGUGAAAUUGUCAAAAGGGAAGCGUUUGACACCAGUGUUGUUUUUCUGAAAAUCAAUUAAAGAACUGUUUAUGCUAAGCUGUUUAGACUUUAUCAGCUAUCUGUUUAGUUUUGAGCUUUUCUUUAAUGCACUUUUCAGUUAACAAGUCAACAUCAAUUUCUUUUGCUGUAAAAAAGUUGAGGAAGGUGGCUUGAGAUUCGUCUUAAGUGUUUAUAGCCUCUUGCCUAUGCAGUCGGAGAGAUUGAGGUCUGCAGCGUAGAUCCUUCGGGGCUAAAUGCAUUUGUGCUAAGUUAUAGCAUUUUAUAGACAACUUGUUGACUAUGAUUUGUCUUGUAGCUUACUCGCUUAUGUUAUUUUACCUACGCUUAGGAUGUUGAUCUACAGAGCGAGAGU
rnacentral:rRNA from 1 species